UACGGAGGGUGCAAGCGUUAUCCGGAUUCACUGGGUUUAAAGGGUGCGUAGGCGGGCAGGUAAGUCAGUGGUGAAAUCUCCCGGGCUUAACCCGGAACUGCCGUUGAUACUAUCUGUCUUGAAUAUUGUGGAGGUAAGCGGAAUAUGUCAUGUAGCGGUGAAAUGCUUAGAUAUGACAUAGAACACCAAUUGCGAAGGCAGCUUACUACACAGUUAUUGACGCUGAGGCACGAAAGCGUGGGGAUCAAACAGG
rnacentral:rRNA from 1 species